rnacentral:ribozyme from 1 species
AGCCACACAACAAAAGAAAACAAAAGAAAGAAAGAAAGAACAAAGAAAAAGAGGGGGCUCGGGUGUGUUUCUUCAUCUCUUGUU